GUCGUCAGCUCGUGUCGUGAGAUGUUGGUUAGUCCGCAACGAGCGCAACCCUCGACCUUAGUUGCCAGCAUUCAGUUGGGCACUCUAAGGUGACUGCCGGCUAAAAGUCGGAGGAAGGUGGGGAUGACGUCAAAUCAUCAUGCCCCUUAUGACCUGGGCUACACACGUGCUACAAUGGGCGGUACAAAGGGUCGCGAACCCGCGAGGGGGAGCCAAUCCCAAAAAGCCGCUCUCAGUUCGGAUUGCAGGCUGCAACUCGCCUGCAUGAAGCCGGAAUCGCUAGUAAUCGCGGAUCAGCAUGCCGCGGUGAAUACGUUCCCGGGCCUU
rnacentral:rRNA from 1 species